UCCCCGCCCCUCGAGAGUUCCGGACUUUUCUUGGGCCUAAAGCCUCCUUACACUUCUCUUCCAGUCUUCGGUUAAAUCCACCUGCUCAACAGAUGGGCCGCUGGAGAUACUACAGAGCUAGGGAGUGGGAGAGGCAGACGGUAUUCAGUGGGUAGGGGUAAAAUCCUCUGAUCCAUUGAGGACCACCAGUGGCGAAGGCGGUCUGCCAGAACACGUUCGACGGUGAGGGAUGAAAGCUGGGGGAGCAAACCGG
rnacentral:rRNA from 1 species